UAAACUCCUGGAGUGAAGCCUUAGCCAGAUUCAGCCUAAUUUGUAUGUAAUCAAGUGCUUGUGGGUCAUCUGAGUGGCAAGAAGCUCCCAGCUUUCAGGACAAAUCUUUGUUCAUCUAAUCUCUGAUGUGCCUCUUCAGAGGAAGGGACAGCUGGGCCCAGGUCUUAGCUUGGCUAAGCUAUCUAAUCUUGCAUCCCUGAAACAACCUGAAGCCUUCACCUCCCAGGAGAAGAGUCUCCUUUUCAAUAGGACCAGAGCUGCAAGCAGAACCAGGGCCAGCGCAGUCAAGAUUGGAGUCAGAAUCCAGGAGUUGCUUUCUUCUUCUGUAAAGGCACUGUGGGGAGUGGGAAGUUGAGGAUGAACUGAGCACAGGAUCAGGGAGGUUUGCGUAUUCCUUAUUUGGCUACCCAGGAGACUGUGCUACUAUUCAGCAAAGGAGUAAAGAAGGUUCCAAUUGCAGCAGAUAAGUAGACUGGAACAUCCAAUGGAAUUUAUGUGCUCACCAGAUAGAUCUAUUCUGAUUGUGGAAUGCUCCCAGGUCUCAGCUCUGAGCCGCAGAAGAAAGAAAAACAAGAGACUCAAACUGAACAUCUCCUCCAUGACAGUCUCCAAGGCUACACUAGAGGAGGCUCUGUGUGCCAAGAGAGAAAUCCACUAUAUACAAGAGUAUGCCUGGUAUCUCAUUAAGGAGCAGAGAUAGUGUGAAAGGAGAAGGAAAUAAUUAACUGUUCUGCUUAUAUCUUACCAAAUUAAAGUCUUCCUCAUGCUGGCUUAUAUGGACUCUGAUUUGGCUAAAUACUGUCAAAGCAUGAGUAUUCACAACGCUUCACCAAAUAAUAAAUAUCUAGUUGACAUUUUAAAAUCUGAUGUACUUUUGUCACAAUAUCCUUUUCUGUUUGUGACUGUUAAUUUAAAAAUCAUUUUAAAGAAUUUAUUUUACUUUUUAAGAUUUAUUUUUUUAAAUUUUGUGUGUGUGUCCAACGACUAGGCUGAGGUCUGAGAGUUUUGUGGAAGAGUGGGAGGAAGAAUUGAGGGAGCUGGAGGGAUCAAGGACACCUCAAGAAGACCUACAGAGUCAAUGAACCUGGGCCCUUGGGGGCUCACAGAAACUGAACCACCAACCAAAGAGCCUGCAUGGGCCGGACCAGACCCCACACAUGUAGCAGAUGUACAGCAUGGUGAGCCACCUAACAAUGAGAACAGGGCUGUCUCUGACUUUGUUGUCUGCCGUUGGAUCCUUUUCCCCUAGCUGGGCUGCCUGUCUGGUCUCAGUGGGAGAAGAUGCACUUAGACCUGCUGUGACUCGAGGUGCCAGGGUAGUUGGUACACCUUAAGGGCCUCCCUUC